ensembl:snRNA U6 U6 spliceosomal RNA
GUGCUUGCUUCAGCAGCACAUAUACUAAAAUAGAAACGAUACAGAGAAUAUUAGCAUGGCCCCUGCGCAAAGACGACAGGCAAAUUCACGAAGCGUUCCAUAUUAGA